rnacentral:lncRNA from 1 species
AAAAAUCAGUAAAAGGAAAACGUUCACGGGAUGAAGUCCAAGAGAAACCAGGCACAAGCUUCCAGCUGUCCUCUCCCAGAAGAACCACAGGAGGGCCAGUUUAAUUCUCCCAGCAACAAUGAGUGACAACACAGCGUGAAGUGUUGCCAAUCAGGGAAGCUCACCUGAGACUUAGCGUUAUAAUUGAAGCACCACGGAACUGCUCCUGUGACUCUUUCAAAAUUCCUCAUGGUGAAUCCAAAAGACAGUUUCUUGGUACCACGGAUAAAUAAGGUACAGGGCGAACAGCAGCAGACCGAUCCUUACUGUGUUCCAACAGAUCAGCGCAGCUCUCACCAACUAAGCAGUGAGCCUUACCCAUCCCUCAAUUGAAAAGUUCAGAAAAUAACUCCUUGUAUUAUUGCCUUGGGCCAAUGUGGAUACUAACAAACAGAUAGCCCUCUACAUUCCUGCAACAUUCUUCCAAUAAAACCUUUCAACCUGCAUCCUCACCUUUCUAUGAGAAAAAUGGCAAGAGAUCCAUAAGCCUCCCUCUUCAUACACAAGAACAACAGCUUGGCUGAAUCAGGAAGGCGUGAAUCCCAUCAGUGCCCCAUAUGCCAGACACUCUAUCCUGUCCUCCAGGAAAAUCCAGAGCAACAAAUUCUCAGGACACCAGCAACCCCUUCUCAAGCAUGGGUUUUCCUCAGUGCCCCAUCCCCCAACUUUUUCAGAAAAGGUCCAUAAAUCAAAUGACCAAUAUUGACACAGCGCACUGGGCUUACUGGGAG